rnacentral:rRNA from 1 species
GACGAACGCUGGCGGCGUGCUUAACACAUGCCAGUCGAACGGAAAGGCCCUGCUUUUGUGCGGUGGCCGAGUGGCGAACGGGUGAGGAACACGAGAGUAACGUACCCUUUACUUUGGGUUAACUUUACGAAAGUAGGGCUAAUACAGGACAGGAUCUCCUCCUUCAUGGUUGGCGAUGGAGAGUUUCGGCGGAUGGGGAUGGACUCGCGGCUUAUCAGCUUGUUGGUGGGGUAGUGGCUUACCAAAGCUUAGACGGGUAGCCGGCCCGGGAGGGUGACCGGACACAUUAGGCCUGAGCUACGGCCCAGACUCGUACGGGAGGCAACGGUGGAGAGUAUUACACAGUGGGAGGAAGCGUGAUGCGGCACCGCCGCGUGCGGGAUGACGGCCUUCGGGUUGUAAACCGCUUCCGCCUGUUACGAAGCGUGAGUGACGGUAAUGGAUAAAGAAGCACCGGCUAACUACGUG